CCCAUCAGCAUCACAUUAAGCAAGGAAAAUUUGUCCUCCAUUCGCCAGGGAACAAGUGGGGAGAAAUCACACGUUAAUUGAGAAUUGAGCUGCACCAGUUAUAUCACCGCGAAUUCACAAAUAUCUUCGAGUAAACUGCAAAAUCUCGGUGAUUUUUGUAGUGGGAUGAAUAGGGGGUUUGGUUAAUUUAAUUUAUAGACUAAGAUCGUUUGUUAAAUAAUUUCGUCAAAAAUAUUGGUAGCUUCCCUUCCAUGAAAACAAUAUCAAAUUAUUGAUGUAUAACAUAAAAUUUUAAUUUAAUACAAAAUUUGAAAUGAAAAAAUUACCUCAUCAAUUAAAAAAUAUAAGAUAUUAACAAAUUUUUAUAAUAAAAAAAUCAGUCUACGCCAUCCCAUCCCAUCCCAUUCUACCUCACCCCGCACCACACCACACUACACCACACCACCAUUCGACAUAUCAAUUAUUACAUUCCUUGUAGGCGCAAUGUACAUGCACUUCUUGUUUUCUGAUCUAUUGGGACAGGUCCCGCAAUUUACCUUCCCACAAAGCUCUAGAGACGGGACGAUGAGGCCCUCAAGAUUGGGGGUUCAACCUUAAUUAUUACAUUUCUUUCCCCAAAAUCGAAUGGCUAGGUAGACAAAAUUAAUUCAAUCAAUGCCGGCUACCAUUUUCAUCGGCAUACUCGUGACUUCCCUUUUCUCUUGCCGACUCUCUCUCCUCACCCUGCUCUCCCAAAUUGCCGUGUUGCUCUUCAUCUGUAUCCUCCAUCGUCGCUGAUCAACCGACCAUCUUUGAUCGGGAAGCCAUAUGGGGUGUUUCGAGAUUGUCUAUGUUCAUAGGGUAUUUUUAGGGAUUAUUUGUGUUUAUGAAUACGUGAUUAUAUAUACAUAGAAGUUGCCUGCUAUAAGUUCUUCUGAUUGAAAAUGAAACCUAAACUAACCUCGCAUUAGUACCUCCAUCGUCGACGGUGCCCGAACGACAAUUGAUCUGGGUUGCCAACUUUGAUGGACUUGUAGAGGAUUAGUUUAAUGAUUUCAGCUUUAGAUUGAUUUGUUGCGAGGAGACCGAUGGCCAACAGUGGAAGCAUCUUUUAAUGUCAAUUUGGAGGUCGGGGAAAUACAACUAAACAGCCUAAAUAAUAGGAAGGUUUUUGAAAUUAGUCUAAG
rnacentral:lncRNA from 1 species